AAAAAAGUUCUAAAAUGCGAUUGAAAUCUGUAGCUAAUAGGAAUAAGGGCAAACAUCCUGUUGUUCAAGACGAUGACUCCGAUUUUGCUCCUCAUUUGUCGAAACGUGAGCGAGCUCCUCCUAAAAAGAAAUCAAAGGUUACUGCGCAUGAAAAAAUUUCUCAUGCUCCUGCUCAAAAAAAUGAUUAGGAUGGUGCUCCUCUUCGAUCGCAGGUUUGUUUUCGGUUUCUUUUUGGUUUGCCCCCAUUUUUGAAAUUUUUUUCAUAUUCAACUUUUGUGGGUUUUGUGUUUAUUGAUUUCUCAUUUUGUAAUAGUUUUUUCAUAGUUUUUUAAUAGUGUAAACACCUUCUGUAUGUAUUUUUUUUUAAUAUGUUUCUUAUCUAGUUGUUUCCUGUCCAUUUUUAUAUCAUCAAUGGGUAACAAUGAGAUUUAUCAUGGAUGUUGAUGUUCAAAGAGUUUUUCCUGUAUUUUUGUUUGUAUACAGUUGUUUUGUAGUUUUAUUAUAGUUUUUCUACUUGCAUAUGCUAUUUCAUUAUAAAACUAAUAUGCAACUAUUUGUACAAAACUUAUUAUGUAUAACUACUAUUUCUUAGUCCCCGUCAAAUUAAAUUCCUGCAUAAUAUAUAAACUAUCAUAAAACGAUAAUACAACUAUAAGACAACCAAAAUAAAAAAUAAACAGACUUAUACGUAACUGAUUGUACCUUAAUUCGAAUUUACUCUUCUUAUUGUGUUUUUAAAUAAAUAUACUUAUAUUGGAAACCAGUAAUCAAUCAAAAAUGCAACUGUAUAUAACGUAGAUGUAUUAUUCAUGAGGUUUUUUUUUAAAAAAAUUUCACAUCGUACAUUAUUUUGGAUUUUGUGGGAGCUCCAGAUCUGUUUGUUACAGAUCUACAUUUCAUGAAUAUGGAUUUCGAUAUUAGGGGGAGUUGUUUUGAUCGAACAAAACAGAAAACAAAUGUGUAAUUUCAGUUUCUUCACAGUUUUUCUGAUUUUUUUCUUCUUUUUCUAUUUAGAUCAUUGGAGGUCUUCUUUUUCAGUUGAUUUCGCCGGAAUUAAUGAUUGUAUUUCCUUCGUUUUGGUUGUUUUGCUGUUUUAAAACGAUCGAGGUGUGUUCAUCUUCAUCGUUCGCUCCGUACAGUUGAAGGUUUAGUGCACAUAAAAACCGCUAAACCGUGGGAACCGCCCAACCUAUUAGAGUCCGCCCGUAUGGAAACCGCCCAUUAAAAAUCCGCAAAAAUUGGGUUGGGUUAAAUUUUAACCCGCUGUUUGGCGGGCGGGUACGGGUUCGCCUAAAAAGGGGCGGGUCCAACCCGUACCCGUUAUUUAUCAUUAUUAGUUUUUUUAAUUUAUACCUAAAAAACUAAAACAAAAAAAAACCCUAAAACUAAUUGUCUGAAGCUCUUAAACCGCACAGUCGCUCGUCCCCCUUCUUCUCUUCUCGUUCCAUUCUUCUCUUCUCCCAUCGUCGACAAUCUGCCGCCCAACCUCAAGCCAUCAACGACUCAACCCACUCAAGUCCCUUCUCCACUUCCAGCCAGCGUAGACGGACGUGGAGAGCGCCGUACCUUCAUUCAGCCUGAACGACGAAGCCACAACGCCGGUCCACAGUUCCCGUCCACUUCGCCGGACCUUCAUCCAGCCACAGCGACAGUCGAAACUCCACAGUCCACAUCUUAAUCGAUCUCUUCAGAUCUGAUAUUAUAUAUAUAUUAUUUGAUUUUUUUUUAUUUGUACAGAGAAUAGUUUUGAGUUUAUAAAAUUCUCUGGUCUGAGAAAACUGGAGUGAGAAAAAUACCAGCCAAUAAUGGACAAAGCUCUGACCAAAGUUGGAAGUUUUUGGAUUUCCAAAAAGGCCAAAGAGGAGAUCUCCAAUAUUACUGAGGACCUCUCUUCACUCUCCAGUACUGUUGAAGAAAAGGCAAGAUAGGUAUUCAACAAGCUAAAAGAGUUGCAUUUCAUUUGGAGCCAACUUUUGAAGUCACUUUUGUUUUAAUUGUAAAGACUUUAUGAAUUAUUAUGAACUUAGAUUGUGUUAUGGACUUAAAUUAUGGACUUUUUUUUUUGGAUUGUUAUGAGCUUGUAUGGACUUUUUAAGGAUCUUUUCUAGAUUGUUAUGGAGUAUGGACUUGAAUUGCUAUGAAAUUUUCAUGGAUUAUUAUUA